UAAGCGUUGGGGGGGGGAGGUCACCGCUCGUAUGAGUUUUUGGUUCUAGUUUGGUUGAGUCGUCUAAGAGUCUAAAUCAACAUUUUUAUUUCAAUCAAAAGUAGAUAAAGUAGUAGUCUUCUUAAGCUUCUGGGAAGACUUAGGCCUAGAUCUCUACUUUAGUGUCUUUGUGAGAAGAAGCAUGAAUAAAAUUCAAGGAUUGUGUGAGUGUUUUUAGUAUCUACCUUUGCUUGCUUGUCUUAUUUUGUCUUUGCAAAAAUUGGAUAUCAAAUCUUUGUUGUGGAGUUGAUUAAUUGAUUUGUUUAUUAAAUACCCAUGCUUCAUGAUGAUCUAGUGCUUUGGUUUUG
rnacentral:lncRNA from 1 species